ensembl:lncRNA
CAGGGUCAAAGCAACUACAGUGUUUCAGGACAUCAACUGAAGCAGGACCUCUAAUGAUGCUGCAGCUUCACUGUCACAGGAUCUCUACAUUUACAGGAAUACCACUGUGUCAGCAAUUACAAUUUUGCAGGACCUCAGUUGUCACAGGACCUCCACUGUAGCCAAACCUUCAAUGGUGCAGCAUCUCCACUGUAGGUAGAAUGACCUCCCCUAUCGCAGUGCCUCCACUUUCAAAGGACCUUCACUGUCACAGAACCUGCACUAUUUCAGUGCCUCCACUGUUACAGGACCUACCUCUUCACAGGAUCUGCACUGUUGCAGCAACUCUAAUUACACUUUUUCAAAGGCAUUACCAGUUAUUAGAUUUGAGGAUGAAUGGAAUGUAAUGUUACUUUUGAAAACAUAAGAAUUUGUCCUGUAUCACUUGUGAUUAAUGGCCACAUGUGCUAGGACCAGUAACCUAUGGAAGAUCUGAUAGCUCUGUAGCCCUCAUCUUGUUGAAGCUGUUGUCCUUAGAGGGUCAUACAGUUCAGGUGAAGGGAUUGGAUCAGCAAGACAACUCUGUGGAGUGGAGUACAAUUAAGUCGUAUUGAGUCCCAGCUGGGAAAAGGAGAAAUCCACAAGAUGGAGAAGGCUUGUGGUGGAGGAAGAACCGUAAAGUACUUAGAGAGUAUAAGGAGGGUUCUCUGGGUCAGAAAGGGCAGAGUGAGCCCCCCUGAAGAACUAGAAAAUUCAAGAGAACCAAGCAAGAAAGAAAAGUCACGAAGCUCUCUAGAAGGAGACAAGACAGGAUGCAGCUGUUGGGCUAUCUCAGGCAAACUCUGCACCGGAGCACCUGUUCAAAGAGAUUAGAAUAUCAUUAUUGUAUCAUGGAUGUUUACUGGGAGAAUGGAAUGAUUUAACAGCUGAGUUGUGGAAUUCUAUUGAUCUAUAAAAUAACCUAUGCAGUGGAUAAUAUAAAGUUAUGAAAUAUCUUCCAGCUUCAUUAAUCAGAACUAUAAAAUUUCAAUCUAGCCCAUGGAUGCUGAUGGUAACUGUCGCUUCUGUUUCCGACCCGCAGAAAAGAGCG